GACGAACGCUGGCGGCGUGCUUAACUCAUGCAAGUCGAACGGAAAGGCCCCUUUGGGGGUACUCGAGUGGCGAACGGGUGAGUAACACGUGAGUAACCUGCCCUUGACUUCGGGAUAACUUCAGGAAACUGGGGCUAAUACCGGAUAGGAAUCCUUGCUGCAUGGUGGGGGUUGGAAAGCUUCGGCGGUUUUGGAUGGACUCGCGGCUUAGCAGCUUGUUGGUGGGGUAGUGGCUUACCAAGGCUUUGACGGGUAGCCGGCCAGAGAGGGCGACCGGCCACAUUGGGACUGAGAUAAGGCCCAGACUCCUACGAGAGGCAGCAGUGGGGAAUAUUGCACAAUGGGCGGAAGCCUGAUGCAGCAACGCCGCGUGCGGGAUGACGGCCUUCGGGUUGUAAACCGCUUUCAGCAGGGGCGAAGCUUGUGGUGACGGUACCUGCAGAAGAAGCACCGGCUAACUACGUG
rnacentral:rRNA from 1 species